UACGGGGGGGGCAAACGUUGUUCGGAAUUACUGGGCGUAAAGCGCGUGUAGGCUGCUUGGAAAGUCGGAUGUGAAAGCCCUGGGCUCAACCUAGGAAGUGCAUUCGAAACUUCUGAGCUUGAGUAUCGGAGAGGAAGGCGGAAUUCUCGGUGUAGAGGUGAAAUUCGUAGAUAUCGAGAGGAACACCGGUGGCGAAGGCGGCCUUCUGGACGAUUACUGACGCUGAGACGCGAAAGCGUGGGGAGCAAACAGG
rnacentral:rRNA from 1 species